CCCGGCCUCGCCCUGCUGCUGGCGGGGAGCAGCCCCAGGGCCCCGAGGGGUGGCUUGGCCGGUGGCUUCCAGUCCAGGCCUCGGUGACCCCUGUGAAAGGGUCUUUCAAACUCCUCCCGAAGGGUUCGCGACCCGCAGGUUGAGAAUCACAAGCCUAGAACCAUCUGAAGGUCCUCCCAGUUCUGGCUCCACACAGCCUCCUCCUCACACUGCAAGCCCACAGUGACCUUCCUGACCCUAGAGUGGCUUCAUUGCACCUGAAAACGUCUACCCUUUUUUUGAGAUAUUAAAAUUCAACUUUGAGUCUUGAGAUAGCUCCGCCGCCCCGCUGAACAGGGCACCCUGGAAGAAUGAAUGCUUGUCUUAAUAAGCUAAAGAACGCCCUUUUCACUCGAGCCUCAGAGUUGGGCUUUCACAACUAUGGGUACCAGAGUUAACCGAGCAACUGCCUUACAGUCCAGUCCAGGACUGGCUUGGAAGUGGACAAGGCUUAGAAAUGUUCUUCCCUGAGCCUUGGAAACCUGAGCGUUGCUGGGGUUUGAGAGCUACUUGGUGAGUGUAGAAGUCUCCUCUCAAGAGUGUCUCUCAGAGGCGGCAGUGGAUUUGGGGUGAGAUUCUAGAACUCACUACUGAAUUUGCAUAAAAUUUGCACGGAGCUUUAAGAGAAAUCUAACCCUAAUGUUGGCUGGGAAGGCGGGGGGGGGGGGGGCACUCAAGUGAGAGGGGCCGUAGGAUUGUAUAACAAGUGGGGCCCGUUAGCUUUCUUAGCCACAUACGCCCUCAUUUGCCUAGUUUUAAAACUUACUGUCUUUAGGUUUGCAGUUUCCAUUUUAGGUCAAGUAAGAUGGGUCAGUUACAUGUGGAAGGUAGCUUAUUUAACAGUUACAUUCGAUUUAAAUAUUCCACUCUAUUAUACUGACCAAGAAAGAAUUCUUAAAUUACGAUUCUCUUGCUCGCAUAAAAACAAUUCCUGAGAAUACCUGUAAGUUUAAGAAAAGUAAAGAGGCUGAGAAAUAAUGACCAAGAAAGCAGAAAGGUGCAGCCAAGCACCACAAAGCUGCCCACACUGCCGUGCCUGGAUGCCCCUUAAGAAGCUCAAGAUAAAUCAUGAUGGCUUUAAAAGCAGAGAGUAACAUAGAAUUGGCAGCGCAAAAAUUCUAUACUUCAGGCACUGGUCAUGGGUGCAAUUGUGGCCCCAAUGUUAUGGGGGGAGGGGGAGCCAGUAGCUUUCUGGCUCUAUAACAGGAAACGCAUGUCUGCUACAUUAAGUCUAACCAAGAAUCCAUAGUUGAGAAACUCAUGGGCCCUAGGAAUGAACCUACUGUUAUUUUACUAAAUGGACAUCGUAGCAAACUGCUUUCUAAAGUCAGGAGGUCUCUGUACCCAUACCCUCUGACCUCAUCAGAGAAGUUUCUUUGUACAUCAGAUAGAUAAUGAUUAAUGCAGAAAUGUAACAGCAUGUUCUGGUGUUUUGUAUUUGAUUGUUAAUUAUUUUGUUCCCGAGGUCUGCUUGCUGUCUCUUCUGAGCAGACUAUCACAGACCCUAAAUGUUGCUGUGUAACCUUGCCUCCAAAAUUAUCCUGAUUAGCUAAAUAAAAGGCCUACAGACCUGGGCAGGGCAGAAGCGUAAAGCAGAGCUAACGUUCUCGGGCUUUGAGGUCAGAAGGAUCACAGGAAGGAGGGGACAGAUAACGGAGGAAGAAGGAAUUGGAGUCACCAAGGGGAAUGUAAAGUACCACAAGGGCCAGGAGGAGGAGCUCUGAGGAGCCACGUGAAAAGAUGGAAAGCUUGUGCAAGAAUUUAUGGGAAUACUGGAUGGGAAGUAGCCCAGAUAGGAAUGGUUAAAGCAAACUGCAUGGGAUGUGGGGCUGAGACAUAAUAAGGCAGACAGGGGAGGGAGGGAACACCCAUCAUAUUGAAACAAGUAUUGUUUAAACACAACGGGUGUCUGUGUCUUUUCCUGAUUAUGACAGUGGGUUAAUAAUAACCACCAUAAUGAUUAUAGACUCUUAGUGAUAAAAUUAAUAGCCCAUUUAUUUUCUGCAACACAGAAACUCACAACUCGCAAAGGAUAGAGAAUAACGGUGUGUGGCAUGCAUGGCUAUAGAUAAGACAUCACACCCUUUCUCCCCAAGGCUUGAGGACCAUUGAGGAAGAGGAGGUGGAAAGAUUGUACAAGCCAGAGGUCAGGAGGACUGGACCGAAACAGUGUCUUCUGGACAGGACAUGACUGUUGUACUCGUGAACUCACAGUAGCUGUGGUCAGUUGCACAAGACCUCUACGAGGUCACCCACGCAACAUUCUCAGCAUAGAAGUGGGAGAGGAGCAUGAGCUCCUGACAGUUGAUGGCUUCUGGGGAAGAGAGAGUCAGUUUUCUUUAAGGGUGUAGGCCCUGGUAGGUCUUAAAGAACAUUUUUACUAAUAAAAUCAUAUGUAUUGAAUUAAAUAAUCUUGAAUAAGCUACAAAACAAAAUUUGCAUUCGGAGAGUUGUACCUUUGAAAGGAUGGUCCAGAACUUUCUUGUUGAAAUUCAUAGAAGUCAUUUUAAAACAUUAGAUUCUAAAUAGUACAUGAGAAAAUUAUUAAUAAUUAUUAAUUGGGAAUUAAUUAAGGUCCAUACCAAAGAUGUAGUAGUCCUUUACAAUAAGGUAGCUUCUUAUAUAGAUAUUAAGAAUGCAGUUUAUGUUUUUUGUUGAUUUGUUUGUUUUACAAAACAGGGUCUUGUUUUGUUUGUGUGUGUGUGUGUGUGUGUGUGUGUGUGUGUGUGUAGCCUGGCUGUCUCAGACUGGUCUUGAGCUCAUAAAGAUCUGCCUGCUUCUGCCUCCUACGUGCUGAGCUUACAGGCCUGUACCACCAUGCCCAGCUGCAAUUGACUUUUAUCAAAAAUUAAAAAAAAAGAUGUUUAAUAGAUAAUGUUUACUAUAGUAGUCACUGUGAUUUCCCCUUAACCCACUGGCACCGGUCGGGAGGUAUCAGUUCCUCUUGCCAGUGGCUGAUGUAAGAAUGGGACUUGGAGCUGUGUUCCCAAGAAGUUAAUAAAAACCAAAACUAACCAUAAAUUAAACACCCGGGUUUUAUUCUGUCACCCAUUGGGGGGUGGGUAGUCCAAAGCUCAGAGUGCAGGUUCCUGCAGUCACCAGGGACCUAAGCUCAUUGUAGCUUUUUGUUCCAUCAGAUCUGAACUAAAUCACUUGUUGUCAUGGUCCAAGGUGAUUGUGGCAAUCCAGCCAUCAUUGCAUGCAUUCUAGAAAUAAAAAAAAAAAAAAGGAAGAUACAGGUUAAAAAGAAGGUGGUGAUUCUCUUCGAAAAAUACCUCCCAAAAGUUCUACACUUUUUUUUUUUCAACUUCACAGGUCUUUUGCUUAUAUAACAUAAUUUCUUGUUUUGUGUUUUUAUGGAGUCGUGUGUGUGUGUGUGUGUGUGUGUGUGUGUGUGUCUGUAUGUAUGUAUGUAUGUCUGUUUUGUAUCUCUGCAUACAUGUGUUUUUUGUGCUUUUUCUUUAGCUUUCCCUCUUCCCCCAUUUGUUUUGUCCUAUUCUUGUUUGGUUUUUAUCUUAUUUAUUUAUUUUUUAUGUUUUAGAUGACUGCUUGUUUUCCAAUGAGGGAGAAGAAAAGAGGGUGUAGAUUUGAGUGAGGAGGAUCUGUUAUAUAAUUAGAAUAUAAUGUAUAAAAAAAAAUCUCUUCAAUAGAAAAGAAAGGUAUUAUAUUCUAUUAUUCCCCUUUUAAGUGGCUGAUGUGGUUAUUAUUAUGAAAAAUGUAUCAUUUUCCAACAGAAACUUAAUUUACUUACUUGUGACUUACAUAAAUAUUCAUCCUUCUCUUUCUCUUUUCACCCUUUAUUCCUUCCCCUUCUCUUUCUGAAUGAGUCCCCCCAUAAAACUAUCAUGUCAGGCAAAGAAAAUUGUGCAGGUAGAAUUGAGAGCAUGUGUUGGUCAACAUCUGGGUGUCAGAGUUAAAACAGUUCAGAGGGAAUCCAGGGCAAGCUAUAAGAUGCCAUGUCAGAGGCUGUCUGAAGAGGGUAUGGAGGGUAAGAGAGGGAGGAGUCCAGGCCAGGAGGUCAGGGUUCAAGGCACUUGGAGAAGAUGGGGCAGCUAACCUGGAAGGUGGGCUGCCUACCUGGGAAUGAAUCUGUUGAGUAAAUGCUCUAAGGACAAUAGUAAGUGGCUACGGCUUGUUAAAACAAGAAAGCAACAGCCGAAAGUAUAUGGACACACCAACCAGAUUAAUUGAAAGUUUGAUGAGGAAAAGGAUGGCUCCCGUCCAACAUACUUAAUUAAGUCUGGAAUAUCGUCAAGUUAAUGCUAUCAGUGUGGAACAGACGGUCAUUACAGGCUAGCAUCGACUCAAAAAAGAAAUAAUCUAAGCAUUAGGAAACAUCACACAAACCCAAAUGAAGACAUGCCACAUAAUAACUGAAGCAGUAGAAAGGCUGCGAACAUCAAAAAAGACAGACAAGCUGUUCCAAAAAGAGGACGUUAGACCAUCAGUUAAUCUCAUUUUUCAGAGUAAAAAAAAUUUCUAGAACCUUAUGAUUAUUUCAAAAUAAAGGCAUUCUUAAAACAAAA